rnacentral:rRNA from 1 species
AACAGGAUUAGAUACCCUGGUAGUCCAUGCCGUAAACGAUGAGUGCUAGGUGUUGGAGGGUUUCCGCCCUUCAGUGCCGGAGCUAACGCAUUAAGCACUCCGCCUGGGGAGUACGACCGCAAGGUUGAAACUCAAGGGAAUUGACGGGGGCCCGCACAAGCGGUGGAGCAUGUGGUUUAAUUCGAAGCUACGCGAAGAACCUUACCAGGUCUUGACAUCUUGCGCCAACCCUAGAGAUAGGGCGUUUCCUUCGGGAACGCAAAGACAGGUGGUGCAUGGUCGUCGUCAGCUCGUGUCGUGAGAUGUUGGGUUAAGUCCCGCAACGAGCGCAACCCUUGUUACUAGUUGCCAGCAUUAAGUUGGGCACUCUAGUGAGACUGCCGGUGACAAACCGGAGGAAGGUGGGGACGACGUCAGAUCAUCAUGCCCCUUAUGACCUGGGCUACACACGUGCUACAAUGGACGGCACAACGAGUCGCGAACUCGCGAGGGCAAGCAAAUCUCUUAAAACCGUUCUCAGUUCGGACUGCAGGCUGCAACUCGCCUGCACGAAGUCGGAAUCGCUAGUAAUCGCGGAUCAGCAUGCCGCGGUGAAUACGUUCCCGGGCCUUGUACGCACCGCCCAUCACACCAUGAGAGUUUGUAACACCCAAAGUCGGUGGGGUAACCUUUUAGGAGUCAGCCGCCUAAGGUGGGACAGAUGAUUAGGGUGAAGUCGUAACAAGGUAACC